CUUUGUAUGAGCUCUGUUUCUCUGUUAGAUUCAAUCUCGUGUAGCCCAGGGUGGCCUUGAACUAACAGAGAUCCCUCUGCUUCUGUCUCCCUAGUACUGGGAUUAAAGGCGUGUGAUCCCAAAUGCUGAGAUGAUACUUUGUGUGAACUGUUUCUCUUUUAGACUGGAUGAAUUUCGUGCAGCCCAGGGUGUCCUUCAACUCACAGAGAUCUGUCUGUCUCUGUCUCCCAAGUGCUGAGAUGAAAGGUGUGUGCCACCACUAGUGUGACUAGCUCUGCAUUCUGCAUCUUCAAGCAAACUUUGUUAGAUUAUAAACAAAAUAUCACCACAGGCAGUCAACCCAACAGUGUCCACAGUUUGUUCUGGCUCUGACAGCAGCGAGUGGGCAAAUGGUUGGAGAGAGCAGAGGCGUGAGCAGCUGCUCGGCGAUGCCAAACCACGUGGUGUGUAUGGAAGAGUGCGGAGGUCGCGGCUCGGGGCCAACCGGAAGGGGACGCUGGCGUCCUGCUCCCCGCCCCAACUCUGGCGGAGCUACAGAGAUGCGCUUUCCGGAACCUUGCGGACUGCUUUGGGGAGGAUUCUCAAAUGCUCUCUGGGGUUGCAGGGCGAGCGAACCUGGAGUCUGGUGCCCCCUAGUGGACUAGAGAUAUCUGAACGUGAAGCACCCCGAUGAUCUGAGGGGGCUGCGUGGCUCAAAACCAGAACAACUUUCCCACUGAUCCCCAGCCCGCCGCCUUCAGAAUGCGGAAAGGGACCUCGGGCAUCACUGGAGUUCAGUGUGGAGGAGCACAGGGCCAUCCUGCGGGUGGCCACAGAGGAGGAGAAACCCAGUUUAAAGCUGAACACAGGCCGAUGCAGGCAAGGUUGCUUACAUAUGUAAUCCCAUGAGGCACACGGGAGCCAGAGACGGCAGGAUCACAAGUUCUAGGCCAGCCUGAGAUCACAGCGUCAGAUCUGACAAAGGACCUUUCCCCUCGGGAAGAUCUAUGUUUCCCUUCCCUGGCCACCAUCCUACUAGACUAGAGGAAUUUGUAACCGGAUCAUCAGUUUUACCAAAUAAGAGAGCACAGAGAGUUUUAAGAGCCAUCCAAAGCACCUGGAGUUACGAGUUUGAAAGCAGGCAUUGGAAAACAUAAAAUGGGACUACAUAUACAGUCUGCCAGUAAACGAAGACCCAUCAACUCGUCAGGGGCAUAUAUCCAGACACAGGGCACAGACUUGGGAAGCAGACAAGAGAACUACAUCAUUAGUGCAUGACUUAAUAGCUUUAUGGCCUUGGAAAGUCCUAUGCCAGUCACAGUUUCUUCCUUUGUAAGUAAGGUUAAGAUCUAAUGUGUUGUGCAAACCUGUACUCUCAGCACUUUGCACGUGGAGACAGGGGAACCUAGAGUUCAAAGUCAUCCUCAGCUACAAGUUUGAGUUUGAGAGUCCCAUCUGGGAUACACGAGACAAGCAAUUCUGUCUCAAGAAUGAAAAAGAGAGGGCACUAUGGGGAGAGACCCUAGUAGGUGUUUCUAAUGGUUAGUAAA
rnacentral:lncRNA from 1 species